AUUCUUUUAGUUCAAAUCAUAUCACUAGUAAUUUCCAUUCAAUUCACAUAUAAUUCAAUAUCAUUUAAUUCAAUAUCGAUAUUCACCUUAUUUUUAUUUACUAAACAUAUUAUUCAAAAUUCAACAAUUGCUAUUAAUAAAUUCAAUACCAAUACAUAUUUUUCAUUAAAUUCAAUCAUGAUACUUACCUCAAUUUGCUUAUCAUGUAUAUUAAUUUAAAAUUUAACAAUUAAUAAUUAAAUUCGAAUUAUGGUAAUAUUAACCGAAAUUUUCUAGAAUCACUCCUUGUCCACCUUCUUCCUUUCCUUCUCGGACAAUGACUCUUGCACGACAUUAACUACAUAAUUAACAAUUAAAACUCAUUAAUACAAAAUUACAUCAAAAAUAUUUCCAUUUAUACCUAAAUUUACUUAAAUUCUAUUUAAUCCCUUAUCAAUACUAAUUUUAUUUUCCCAAUCUAACUCCAUAUUCUCUCUUAAUUCUUACUAUAAACUCAUUUUAACUCUUCAAAUUUCACCAUAAUCCCUAAUUUCAAAUUCUCUCAAUUUAGUCCAUACUAUUCAAAACUUAUGUUUUAUUUUAUAAAUCAACCCUUUACUAACUUCUAACUUGAAAUUCAAUCAAUUUAACACCCUAAUUCAUCAAUUAAUUCAACAUAACUCAUGUCUAAAAAUCUACUAUCUUCAAAUUUUCAGCACAUACUUAAUAGUAUUUUGUUCUAGUUUCAUAAAAACUCAAAAAUUACAAGAAAUGAGUUAAAUUAACUUACCAAAUUAACUUUGAACCUUGAAACCCCAAAUUUUCCUUCCUUCUUUCCUUCCCUUUUUCUUUUUUUUUUUCCUUCCUCCCGUGUUUUCGUUUUGCUAUUGUGUUUCUAUUCUCUUUUUC
rnacentral:lncRNA from 1 species